UCCUGAGUGCUGGGAUUAAAGGCGUGCGCCACCAUAACCUAUCAUGUGAUGGGGUCUUAACUGGAGUCAAAACCAGCGAUUCACUUUUCCUAUGACCAUCUGCUAAGUGUAAAAAAAGAAAUACUCACUCUUGGGUCCUGCUGAUAGAACUUUUUUUUUUAAUGUUAUUUAUGUAUACAUUGUUCUGCCUGCAUGUAUGCCUGCAAGCCAGAAGAGGGCACCAGAUCUCAUUAUAGAUGACUGUGAGCUACCAUGUGGUUGCUGGGAAUGAACUCAGGACCUUUGGAAGAGCAGCCAGUACUCUUAACUCCUGAGCCAUCUCUCCAGCCCCUGAUAGAACUUUUAUUUAAUCAAUCAAGGACAAUGUUUCUCAAAUUUGUCUGCAGAUUGGAAUCACCAAGGAAGGAAUACAAACAGCCUCUUGAUAGUUUUUGAUGCUCCUGGUGACUCCAGACAAUUGCUGAUAGAGGGUACUUUUAAAAAACAAACGCCCCUGGAAGCUGGGUGCAUGGAGUGUGUGCCUAGUUCCAGUUGCUAAGAUAGGAAGAUCAUCUGAUGCCAGGAAUUCAAGGUUAGCUUGAGUUAAGACCCCAUGUCACAAAAAAAAAAAGAAAAGAGAGGGAAAGAAAACAAAACAAAACAAAAACCCAAACCCAGAAAGACCUAGUACUGUGCAGGCAGAAUUGAUUCUCCAGCUUGAGCAUGCACCCAAAUCACCCAGACCUCGCUCUUUCCCUGUCUGUCUGUCUGUCUGUCUCUCUGUCUUUCUCUCAUUUGUGUGCAUGUGUAUUGGUUUGUGUGCCUGUACACAUGGAUGCCAGAGGGCAACAGAUGUUAUACCUUAGGGACCAUCCACUUUGUUUAUUUUAUAUUUUUCAUUUUCAUGUGUAUGAGUAUUUUGGUUAUAUGUAUAUCUGUGUACCACAUUCAUUCCUAGUGUCCUUGAAAGUCAAAAGAGGGUAUCAGACACACACACACACAUCCCAAUAACUGGAGUUACAGAUGGUUAUAAACUGCAAUAUGGGUGCUGAGAAUUGAACUCUGGUCCUCUGUAAGAACAGCCAAUGCUCUUAAUCCCUGAAGCAUCCCUGUAGUCUCCAUACAUUGUUUUUGAUGCAGGGCCUGGGACUAGUUAACUAGCUUUGGUUAGCUGGCCAGUGAGCCUCAGGGAAUCCCCUGCCUCAGCCUUCCCACCACUGGAAUUAGAAAUGCAUACCAUCACCUCUAACCCCAGCACUGGGGAGGCAGAGGCAGGCGGACCUCUGAGUGCAAGGCCAGCCUGGUCUACACAGUGAGUUCCAAGACAGCCAAAACUGGCUUUUUUUUUCCUCUCUCUUUUAAAAUUUGCUUUAGUUUAAUUAGCAUGUAUCUGUUUCAGCAUUUGAGUGUGUGCACAUGUAUUCAGGGGCCUGGAGAGACUAGAGAUAGCAGAUGCCCUGGGUAGUUGUGAGCCAACUGCUCAGCCACUCUCCCGUCCCUCACACUCAGCGUUUUAUGUAGGUUCUGGGGACUCAAGCUAAGGUCCCCAUGCUUGCAAGACAAGCACUGUUAUUGACUGAGCCAUUGUGUCAGCCCCUACCUGAAUGGGGUUCUUAAACUUCCGAGGCAAGAUCUAACUCUAGAAUCUCUGAUGCAGUUGGUCUCGGCCCCACUCUGGGAGAACUGGCCAAGAGGAGCUGCUAUGAUGGAAUGUCUCCAGGAGAAUGGGUUUCAGGAGAGGCUGAGGCUAGAGAUCUACUAAGUAGAUGCUUAUUAAACCCACACAGAAUGUAUGGUAUUCCAAGAAGCCACAGGGUGGUGCAAGAACCAAAGCACGUCAAUUGGCAAGAACCUGUGGUUCCCGAGUUAAAAUAGGUGGAGUAGUGACUAGUUGCUGCUCACCAUGUGCUGAUUGUUGUUGGUCAUCAGGACUGUCUUCAGAGGCCUGCAGUCUGUGACUGGUGAUGCCGAGUUAGGGAGGGCGGGGCAUGGUGAGGCAUUGGUCCAGACUGCAGCUUAGACACUUUAGCUCCUGUCCUGGGCAGAAUGUUGAGGGUAGUGACCUAUUUCACUGUGGUUUAGGGGUAGAACUGGGCUUAGGAAGUGGCCAUGUUUUGAGGUUCAUCUCAAAGCUCCCACACUAGAAUUUUGACAGUCAGACCACUGUCCUUUUGUUCAGUAACAUUUACUGUGUGCCUUCGGGGGCUUUUCGGCUUUGUGCUAAUACUGGAGCUAUAACAGGGGUAAAGGCCUCAGAGCAUUUCUACCAGAUGAGGGAGGCAGACAAAAACAAGCAAAUAAAAAAUAAUUACAAACUCCCAGAACUAAUAAGCGAGUUUAGCAAGGUCUGGGGAUACAAGAUCAACACAUAAAAAUCAAUUGCAUUUCUCUGAAUUCACGAUGAACAUGUGAAAACUGAAAUUAAAAACGCUGUGCCAUUUGCUGCUGCGUCUAAGAAAAUGAAAUACUUGGGUCUAAAUCUGACAAAGCCCGUGUAGAAUUUGUAUGCUGAAAAUUAGAAAUGCUGAUGAAGGAGAUCAAAGGUGACCCAGAUAAACGCAGAGACGGUCUGUGUUCAUGGAUUACAAGACUCUACAUUAGUGAAUGCCAACUUUCCUCAACCUCUUUCUUUUUUUUUUUUUCCUUGAUACUAGAGGUUGAACUCUGGGCUGUGCAUAUGCUAAGCAAGCAGUCUACCAUUACCAUUAAACCUUCUCUCC
rnacentral:lncRNA from 1 species